GGAAGCGCUUGCAAUCAGACUUGCCCCUAGUUGCAGUGGUAACUCGUUUACCAUCAACCUGCCUAGGGUCAGGCCAGCAUCAGUUUGGAUGGUUAGAUAAAGGCUUGAAGAAUGUGGCCCUUUUCGGGGGGUGUUAUAGCUUCAGGUGCAAUGUAGCCUAUCUGGACUGAGGACCGCGCUUCGGCUAGGAUGCUGGCGUAAUGGUUGUAAGCGACCCGUCUUGAAACACGGACCAAGGAGUGUACCUCAUAUGCGAGUGUUUGGGUGUUAAACCCAUACGCGUAAUGAAAGUGAACGGAGGUGAGAACCCUUAAGGGUGCAUCAUCGACCGAUCCUGAUGUCUUCGGAUGGAUUUGAGUAAGAGCAUGUGGGGUGCGACCCGAAAGAUGGUGAUCUAUACGUGAAUAGGGUGAAGCCAGAGGAAACUCUGGUGGAGGCUCGCAGCGGUUCUGACGUGCAAAUCGAUCGUCAAAUUUGCGUAUAGGGGCGAAAGACUAAUCGAACCAUUAAGGAAUAGACCAAGCUCUAGGUGGUUGAGAAACCCCUCAGGGGUAUUAGUCCUAGAAAUAGGGCGACAUUGUCAAAUUGUUCGGGGACCACCUGCUAAUUUACACACUACCGCAGCAGUGCUGAAAAGCCUGUGAGCACUGGAGGUAACGCCUCCAGGGAUGGUAAUAACGUGUGUAUAGGGUAUAUUCGCAAGCAAUUCCUAAACCUGUAAACCUAUAUUCCAGUUUACUAGUCUCUUUUACUAAGCCUCUUUGCUAGUCUCAUCGUAUCUUCUACCACGCAGAGAGCCGGGUACGUACCGAGCUUUCUC
rnacentral:rRNA from 1 species